GUCAGUGUCAACUGUCAUUCUCGCUACGACGAUCACUGACCUACUAGUAGUUUCUGGCAUCGUGUUUGUUGUUUGUCUAGUGAAAUCUUGCCACGCCAUUCCUUGAUGUUUACCGGGAACACUGUAGACAUCAUGUUCAUAUUGUUUUUCCUUCUUAUUUGUUGUGUAGUGAUGUGCAGGACCGCAAACGGACGCCACAUCCGGAGAAACCAACGCCAUGACGGCCGACGAUGUCAAUGGCUGACGCCGGCCAACGUGAGCAAGGUAAGGUUGGAAUGGUGUAUUUAUGGAGAGGAUCAUCUAGUGAGCAAGGUAUUUAUAUUUUGCCUUUAAUGAAUUGAUAAUGAAGUCACCCCACACCUUGAUCUGUAUUUUUUUUACAUUUUUUUUAUCUGCCAUUUUUAAUUGCCUUGUUCCAUUAAUUCAAUGAGUUUUUCCCGUCAUUCUGAGCUCCAUACUUAACAUACUUUUGUUAGUAGAAUGAGGUGACAAGUUCCUUGAAGCAGUUAUUAAGCUCUCCCAUGACUUGGGUGGUCCCAUGAGUUUUGUGCUGUGAUUUUGCUGUUUAUAUUUAGGAAGAGACUAGUUUUCUUUAUUUACAAGGUAUUCGUGGUACUGCUUGUCAUCCAUUGGCAUGGCUGCUGAUUAAAUUUGGUUAGAAAAGAAGAAUAUUCUGGAGAGGUGAUUAGUCCUUGGGUAUUAAGAAUAGUUUGUGUAUGGUUUGAGCCAUUUUGUUAAUCAUUAAACUAUAACACUAAGCCCCAACCUUGCUCCCCGCUCUCAAACUUCUGCUUCUUUGCUUUGCCGAAAGGAACAAGCAUGGAGACAUAUUACAACAGAAAUGAAAUCAUCACUGUUUGGAACUCAUACAUAUGCACACGGGAAGCACUUUAAUUGUAUUGGCUAAAUCGAAUGUGUAGCAAAUUAGUUUUUUUUUCCUUCUUCUUCUUCUUCUUCUUCACUGUUGUAAGAUUGAGGUAUGACAAUCAUUAUUACCUUUGCAAGAAGUACACAACCACUCGAAUGUGACAGUGACGCUAGUUGUCCCCAGAUCUCCUUAGGCUACUGACGGGCUCUCAAGAUCGUUACCUACAAGGCCCAAUCUUCUCAGACAGCCCUAUUUCAGACUAUCACCAAGGAUUAUCCACAAUGGCUAUAAGAGGGUUUCUACAACACCUUAGACAGGAGGGGUUUUCAAGAGCACCUUACGCUGCUAUUGCAGAAUGUAGACUUUUCAUCCGCCAAUCUUUAGGGCCUGGGUGAGACAUCACAAUAUCUCAUCUUCCAAGACAUCUGUAACAGAUAUUGCAGAAUUCUUUCUGUACCUCAGGAAGUCUAGAGGUUGCUCUGUCUACAAUUAAGGAAUACAGAGUAAUGCUGUUCUCUGGUCAUCAUCUUGAACCUAUGCUUUCUUCUUCAUAAGACAUUACCAGGAAGAUCCUCUUUCUUGUAGCAUUGUCGACAGCUAAGUGGGUCAGUGAAAAUACAUGUAAUAUAAAAAAAAAAAAAAAAAAAAAAAAAGUUGGAUUUUGCCAAGGGGAUGUGGUUUGUUCAUUCAACCUGGGCUCUUUAGUAAGAAAUGAGAACCCAGCCAGGUCUUGGCCCAUGUUCCUUACUUUUUAAAGUGUUGGAAAUCCUGGGCCCCGAAGAUUACAGUACUGUGCCCAGUAAA